rnacentral:rRNA from 1 species
ACUCCUACGGGAGGCAGCAGUGGGAAUAUUGCACAAAUGGGGAAGGCCAUCGAUGCAGCCAUGCCGCGCUGUGUGAAGAAGGCCAAUUCGGGCUUGGUUAAAGACACUUUUCAGUAGGGAGGAAGGUAGUGUAGUUAACACCUGCAUUAUUUGACGUUACCUACAGAAGAAGCACCGGCUAACUACGUGCCAGCAGCCGCGGUAAUACGUAGGGUGCAAGCGUUAAUCGGAAUUACUGGGCGUAAAGCGUGCGCAGGCGGUUUGCUAAGACCGAUGUGAAAU